UACAGAGGUCUCAAGCGUUGUUCGGAUUCAUUGGGCGUAAAGGGUGCGUAGGCGGCGCGGUAAGUCGGGUGUGAAAUCUCGGAGCUUAACUCCGAAACUGCAUUCGAUACUACCGUGCUUGAGGACUGGAGAGGAGACUGGAAAUUUACGGUGUAGCGGUGAAAUGCGUAGAGUAUCGUGAAGGAAGACCAGUGGCGAAGGCGGGUCUCUGGACAGUUCCUGA
rnacentral:rRNA from 1 species